GAUGAACGCUGGCGGCGUGCCUAACACAUGCAAGUCGAGCGAAGCGGGGACGGGUGAGUAAUACGUGGCUAACCUCCUAUAAGACUGGGAUAACCCCGGGAAACCGGAGCUAAACCGGAUACUGAUAGAUGGAUGCGCGCUGCAUUAGCUAGUUGGUAGGGUGACGGCUUACCAAGGCAACGAUGCAUAGCCGACCUGAGAGGGUGAGCGGGCACACGGGAACUGAGAAACGUUCCAGACUCCUACGUGAGGCAGCAGUGGGGAAUCUUCCGCAAUGGGCGAAAGGCGGACGGAGCAACGCCGCGUGGGUGAUGAAGGUCUUCGGGUCGUAAAGCUCUGUUAUUAGGUAGGCGGUACCUAAACAAAAAGCCACGGCUAACUACGUGCCAGCAGCCGCGGUAAUUC
rnacentral:rRNA from 1 species